UUCUUAGAUCCAUCAUCUUCAUCGCCUCCAUGCUUCCGAUAAUCAGUGACCAAAAUCAAUGGUUGUCAUAAGCGGCCAACUCAAAGUAAAUAAUAUUUUGGACAAGAGUUUGCAUCUAAUUGCUGACAAUUAUCAAGAGUUGGAAGUGUUCAAUUUGAUGAGGUAUAACAGGUCUAUACCGUGGAAUUGUGAGUAAUAUUGCUUCUUCAGCACCAAUUUCUAUGGUUUACACCUUCACAUACGAAUCAAUUAAGGGAGCGAUGUUGCCCCUCUUGACAAAGGUGAUCUUGCAUGUUGAGUUUUGGGAUGGUCUUUCUGUCAUAACAAGUGUCUGAUUUGCUUGCAUUUAGGAGCCUUCGC